AGUCGCCUCUUUUAUAUAACCAAAUUUUACGUUUAUAUGUUAGUUUCUGAAAUGACGGAACAGAAAUACAUACAACACAACCUUGGUGGUCAGAAACUUCUGCACGCGCUACUAUUCCAAGAACUAUAUAAACCCCAAUCGGGAGAAUGUUGUCUUUCGUUUUAUUAAAACGCUGGAGGUAUUGACCCUUCAAACCCGCUAUGCAAAAAUGGAAACUUUGCUGACAUCAUAUCAACACAAAGUAGAAUGACCACAUCAGAGCCAUCUCAACACUCACAACAGGAAAUGGUUUCAAGUAAUUUAAAGAUGCCAAGGAAUGGACAGGCUACUGGUCCAGAUGGCAC